GCAGUCGAGCGGACAGAAGGGAGCUUGCUCCCGGAUGUUAGCGGCGGACGGGUGAGUAACACGUGGGUAACCUGCCUGUAAGACUGGGAUAACUCCGGGAAACCGGAGCUAAUACCGGAUAGUUCCUUGAACCGCAUGGUUCAAGGAUGAAAGACGGUUUCGGCUGUCACUUACAGAUGGACCCGCGGCGCAUUAGCUAGUUGGUGGGGUAAUGGCUCACCAAGGCGACGAUGCGUAGCCGACCUGAGAGGGUGAUCGGCCACACUGGGACUGAGACACGGCCCAGACUCCUACGGGAGGCAGCAGUAGGGAAUCUUCCGCAAUGGACGAAAGUCUGACGGAGCAACGCCGCGUGAGUGAUGAAGGUUUUCGGAUCGUAAAGCUCUGUUGUUAGGGAAGAACAAGUGCGAGAGUAACUGCUCGCACCUUGACGAUACCUAACCAGAAAGCCACGGCUAA
rnacentral:rRNA from 1 species